GGGGGUGUAGCUCAGAGGUAGAGUGCUCGUUUCGCAUACGAGAAGUCCCGGGUUCGAACCCCGGCACCUCCA
rnacentral:tRNA from 1 species